GCCAGGUAUGGGGGUGCAUACCUGUAGUCUCAGCUACUCGGGAGGCUGAGGGAGGAGGAUUGCUUGAGCCCAGGAAUUUGAGGCUGCAGUGAGCUAUGAUUGCAUCACUGCACUCCAGCCUGGGCGACAGAGCGAGACCCUGCCUCUA
ensembl:misc_RNA Metazoa_SRP Metazoan signal recognition particle RNA